GGCGGUGGGUCUGAGGAAGGGCCUCCCCGUGCCGGGCCAGGCCCCAGGACGGCGGGGCUGGGACGGGGGGUGGCCGCGUCCUGCCGGGGACUGAGGUGAUGGGUCGGGAAGGGGCGCUGGGAUGGGCGCGGGUUAGCGGAGAAGACAGGCGGAGGGCAGUCAGGCCCGGGACAUGGCGGCCGAGGCUCGCUGAGGAGGGGGCGAGCUGGCGUGCUUCCAGCGUGGGAGGGAAGGGACGAGGCCCUGCACGGAGCGGAGCCAAGGAGGGAGCUGGGAAGCGUCAAAACCCUGUCAGAAAUCCGGCGUGGCUCGGUGGCCGGGGGAGGCAGAAGAUGGCACUGGGGGUCCGUGAGAGGCGGCCCUGCGGUGUUGGCCAGUCACGGCUGUGGACAGAGUUUAAAGUCGGAAGGGUCACUCGUGUUUUGUUUUGGGUUUAGUUAGCAGUGGAGCUAGUCCGAGGGCGGUGAAGUAACAGCUGAAGGGGCUUAACGUGCUAGGAGGAUGCUGGAGAGAGACUAGGGAAGGGCACUGUGAGCGUACUUGUGUCAGAGAUUAAACUGAAGAGGGCUCAAGGCAAGGCGGGUGGAGAUCAGGGGAUCCGAGUGCGUUGGAGGGGAUGGAAACAGAAGGAUCUGGAACAUUAACAGCUGUAAAUGCAGCCCAAGUCUGUGUGGGGAAGCGAUGGUGGUUCUAGCUGUGGUGGGAACUUUUAGUGUUGCAAGACAUCUAUACUCCUGGUGCUUGGGUCCUCUCUACAUCUGCCGUGAUCAUCAGCAUCAGGAACUUGAACUUAUGCAAAGGGAAACUUGAAAAUCACAAGACUUUGAGCUUUCCACUUCCCAAUGAAGUUGAGGGUGGGAGGAAAAGCCUGUCACUUGUGAAUGGAAGACUUGAGGAGGGAGUCCAGUGCUAUCAGCAAGUCAGAGCUGAAAGCAGACAGAUAUUAGGAGUAGUUUAUAAAAUCACUCAAGAGUUGCUAGUAGAGAGGGAAUCAGAAAUUACUAAAAUUGGCAUGAGAAGAUGGACGUGAAAUGGAGAUGGGUAAACACAAUGAUUAUUAAACUACUGGUUGGAACAGAGUCUGCUUUGACUUCCUCAAACACUUUGGUCAACUACCUGGUCAUUUAACUGCCCGCUGACUGGGAGAACAAUAUUCCUGCUCAAAUCUUAUCUAGUUUCACUGGAGAUGAGUUGCUGAGCAACCAGUUAGACCAAGAGCACGCUGAAGAAUGUAAAUGCCACCUCUCUGCAAAGAAGUUUGUCCUUCAUCGUAUUGCCAUCAAGUAUACUACCUUCUCCUGUAAACACCAGUUGACACUUGCCUAUCAGGGAUCAAGAAGGGAAAUUCCACCACGACAUUAGGGAAAAAAGUCCUUUCAAGCACUGGUUGCCCAGAGGGACUGAGGAAUCUCCAUCCUUGGGCAUUAUUUACAACUUGACUGCCAAAGACCCUGAGCGGCAUGGGCUAAAUUGGCUCCAUUCUGAGCAGGGGGCUGGAGCAGGUGCUCUUCAGGGGUCCCUUUUUAAUAUCACCAGUAAGCACUGCGUACUGUCUCGGUAAAAAAGAAUGGACAUUUUUAGGUACUUUUAACUUCCCAGUAAUGUAGGAUGUGCUGCUGUAGCUAACAUGAAAAAAAUAAUGCUGUGGUGAGGUGUUCAGAUGCAGGUAGCUUGCAUACACAUAAACCUGCACGCAGGGACACGUGCAAGCGUUGAGGUUAGCUGCUCUGUGGGAAAGCAGUCCAACAGCAAAAUAGGAGGGUAGAGGGAGGGGUGCUUGAGGUUAAAAAAACCCUUGGAAAAAGCAUGAAUUUUUGUUCUUGCCAGAUUUCAUUUCCAAGAUGCUUGAAUUGAGCCCCUGUAGCAAACUAAGCAACGGUCCUGAAUUAAUGGGAGGUAAUAUAACCAGCAUUGAGAGCUGGUUGCACAACUCCUGUACACGCUAAACCAUCUCUUUCUGCACUUCCUUUCCAAGAAGUGCCAGAGGGAUGAAAUAAAUUCUCUCUCCCGAAUAGGGGAAAGUCCGUCAAGCCAGCUAGUCUGGUGUUUUCAGAAGUCCAGUAAAAGACAUGGUCUUGCAUGUGUCCUCAGAAAUGUAUAAGGUUUUCCAUAUUCAAGAUAACUAUGCUAGGGGACAUAAUUUUGUCCUCAGUCACAGGGGAGAAGCCUGCAAACCUUGACCUCAAAGGUACUUACUUCCAUCUGUGAGAAAAUUUCAGUUUUAUUGAAUGGUUUCAGUUCCAGGAAAGUGAUCCCUGAUAACUACCAGAAAUCAAUCCUUCAGAUCUAAAAGCGCUGCUUUCACAAAUUUUAUUAUGUUGAUCGCUGUGUUACACCAUUUUCUUGCCUAUGAGUGAAGUCCCUGGAGCAUUAGGAGCUGCUUCUCACGUGCUCUCAGUCUAACACAGCAAAAUGACACCGACUUCCCCCACUAAUGUGGCAACAUCCUCCCUGACCCGAGCCUAGGAGAGCUAGACCCAGCAUUUCAGCCUAAUGGCAGGAUUAGUACCAAAUUCCAAGAUACUGUAACUUCAUUGGCCCAACUCAAGACUCCCCUGCCUGUACCUCUAAUGAUUACAUUACCCCUUUCUGUUCAGCUGCCAUGCCCCUCUUUUCCAAGUCUUUUCCAGAGCCACUGCUUCGAAGUAUAGUUUCCCAUCUUACUAUUGUGGCCUUCAUUCUCUGUUUUUUAGAUAUAUAGCUUCAUGUUUACCUGUAAUAAAUAUGUUAUAUUGUUUGCUUUCUGUAUACCACCUGAUUACAUCAGUGACCUAUUUU